GACAGAGGAUGCAAGCGUUAUCCGGAAUGAUUGGGCGUAAAGCGUCUGUAGGUGGCUUUUUAAGUCCGCCGUCAAAUCCCAGGGCUCAACCCUGGACAGGCGGUGGAAACUACCCAAGCUGGAGUACGGUAGGGGCAGAGGGAAUUUCCGGUGGAGCGGUGAAAUGCGUAGAUAUAGCGGGAGGAACACCGAUGGCGAAGGCAAUCCCCCUGGGCCUGCACUGACGCUCAUGCACGAAAGCGUGGGGAGCAAACAGG
rnacentral:rRNA from 1 species